GGCAAUGUGGCAUAGUGGUUAGCGUGUUGGACUAGGAUUUGGAAGACAAGGGUUCAAACCCCCACUUAGCCA